CCGUCAAUUCAUUUGAGUUUCACCGUUGCCGGCGUACUCCCCAGGUGGAUUACUUAUCGCUUUCGCUAAGCCGCGUACUGUAUAUCGCACACAGCGAGUAAUCAACGUUUACAGUGUGGACUACCAGGGUAUCUAAUCCUGUUUGAUCCCCACACUUUCGUGCCUCAGCGUCAGUUGAAGUCUAGUAAGCUGUCUACACUAUCGGUGUUCUUGACGAUAUCUAAGCAUUUCACCGCUACACCGUCAAUUCCGCCUACCUCGAUUCCACUCAAGCCCAUCAGUAUCAAUCCCACCCUCCCGGUUAAGCCGGGAUAUUUCAGAACUGACUUAAUAGGCCGCCUACGCACCCUUUAAACCCAAUAAAUCCGGACAACGCUUGCCACCUACGUAUUACCGCGGC
rnacentral:misc_RNA from 1 species